rnacentral:tRNA from 1 species
GUAGCUCAGUGGUAGAGUGCUUGCCUUGCAUGUAGGAGGCCCUGGGUUCGAUUCCUUAGC